AGAGGGAUAUCAGAAGCAAUUCAACAAGCAGGGGGGAGCUUAGAUAAAAGAGCCGAUGAUUUACAGGGGCUCUUGUUCUUGGUUCAUGACUCCACCUAGGGAUAGCAUCAAGUUAGAUAUGGAUUGGAUAGAUCAUUAUCUAUAUCCAUCUUGUAAUUAAAAAUUAUAUACCUAUAUUUAUCCAGUAUAUGUAUAUUCGAUCCGAUCAUUUUGGAUUUUUCAUCUAAAACCCAUCUCCACUCC
rnacentral:lncRNA from 1 species